GACGAACGCUGGCGGCGUGCUUAACACAUGCAAGUCGAACGGAAAGGCCCUGCUUUUGUGGGGUGCUCGAGUGGAGAACGGGUGAGUAACACGUGAGUAACCUGCCAUUGACUUUGGGAUAACUUCAGGAAACUGGGGCUAAUACCGGAUAGGAGCUACUGCUGCAUGGUGGGGGUUGGAAAGUUUCGGCGGUUGGGGAUGGACUCGCGGCUUAUCAGCUUGUUGGUGGGGUAGUGGCUUACCAAGGCUUUGACGGGUAGCCGGCCUGGGAGGGUGACCGGCCACAUUGGGACUGAGAUACGGCCCAGACUCCUACGGGAGGCAGCAGUGGGGAAUAUUGCACAAUGGGCGGAAGCCUGAUGCAGCAACGCCGCGUGCGGGAUGGCGGCCUUCGGGUUGUAAACCGCUUUCGCCUGUGACGAAGCGUGAGUGACGGUAAUGGGUAAAGAAGCACCGGCUAACUACGUG
rnacentral:rRNA from 1 species